GAGAAGUAACUACCCCCUUCAACGCACCUCAGGAAAGUGCACCUGGGCAGUGUGAGCAAUGCGGGAGAUACUAAAUAACUGAGAAUUGAUGAUUAUCUGACGCGGAUGGAGUUGGAGCUGAAAGCAAAGGAGCCACAGCUGGAGCAACAAAGGCUAGAGGAUAGUGAGAGGCAGCGAAAGCACGAGGCAGAACAGCAGGAGAAGCAGCGUAACCAUGAAUGGGAGAUGGAGGAGUGGAGAGGCAUGAGGACUCACCAAGGGGGGAGAAAACAAGACGUCAAUCAUUUCUUAAGGAAGACAUGUAUGUUGGCCUGGCAGCCAGAACACCUGCAAUCAGUUUCUGACUAUCAGAUUUCCUGUGCGACCUUAUGGAAAUCCAUUUCUUAAUAAUUGGGUGUGUGAUGAAGUGGGGAUUUUCCCUUGUUAUGUUGUAUGUGAAUCUUACUGUUUUGCAUGAAUGCUGUGUGUGCCUCAGUUUCCCUGUGUAUUGCACCAAUGUCUAGGUGAUGGGAAUAAGCGUGUGUGACUUUUGUGAGGAUUAUUCCAGCUGCCUGCAUGUUUGCUGUGGCCACCACUACAUAACCUGAGACCCAGGAGGGAGACACGAUUAGGUGACUCUUGCAAACACCAGAGCAGCAGCAACGGGCAGGGCAGGGGUGAGGCAAUUGGAAGCAAGUCAGUCUCAGCUGGCUUGGGGCUCUGGGCUCCCCUGCCCCACAAGAUGGACUUGGUUGAAAGUCACCAA